GUGCUCGAUUAGGCAGCACAUAUACUAAAAUUGGAACGAUACAGAGAAGAUUAGCAUGGCCCCUGCGCAAAUGCUGUUAGGAAAAUAAACAAAUUCUAAUUAUUC
ensembl:snRNA U6 U6 spliceosomal RNA